UCUCCGUAGGUGAACCAGCGGAGGGAUCAUUACUGAGUGAGGGCUUCGGUCCGACCUCCAACCCUUUGUGAACCAAACUUGUUGCUUCGGGGGCGACCCUGCCGCUUCGGCGGUGCGGCGCCCCCGGAGGCCAUUAAACACUGCAUCAUUGCGUCGGAGUUAAAGUAAAUUAAACAAAACUUUCAACAACGGAUCUCUUGGUUCUGGCAUCGAUGAAGAACGCCAGC
rnacentral:misc_RNA from 1 species